rnacentral:rRNA from 1 species
UUAGAACCGCAUGGUUCUAAAGUGAAAGAUGGUUUUGCUAUUACUUAUAGAUGGACCCGCGCCGUAUUAGCUAGUUGGUAAGGUAACGGCUUACCAAGGCGACGAUACGUAGCCGACCUGAGAGGGUGAUCGGCCACACUGGAACUGAGACACGGUCCAGACUCCUACGGGAGGCAGCAGUAGGGAGUCUUCCGCAAUGGGCGAAAGCCUGACGGAGCAACGCCGCGUGAGUGAUGAAGGGUUUCGGCUCGUAAAACUCUGUUAUUAGGGAAGAACAAAUGUGUAAGUAACUGUGCACAUCUUGACGGUACCUAAUCAGAAAGCCACGGCUAACUACGUGCCAGCAGCCGCGGUAAUACGUAGGUGGCAAGCGUUAUCCGGAAUUAUUGGGCGUAAAGCGCGCGUAGGCGGUUUCUUAAGUCUGAUGUGAAAGCCCACGGCUCAACCGUGGAGGGUCAUUGGAAACUGGGAAACUUGAGUACAGAAGAGGAAAGUGGAAUUCCAUGUGUAGCGGUGAAAUGCGCAGAGAUAUGGAGGAACACCAGUGGCGAAGGCGACUUUCUGGUCUGUAACUGACGCUGAUGUGCGAAAGCGUGGGGAUCAAACGGGAUUAGAUACCCUGGUAGUCCACGCCGUAAACGAUGAGUGCUAGGUGUUAGGGGGUUUCCGCCCCUUAGUGCUGCAGCUAACGCAUUAAGCACUCCGCCUGGGGAGUACGACCGCAAGGUUGAAACUCAAAG